rnacentral:rRNA from 2 species
GGGUUGUGAGGUUAAGCGACUAAGCGUACACGGUGGAUGCCCUGGCAGUCAGAGGCGAUGAAGGGCGUGCUAAUCUGCGAUAAGCGCCGGUAAGGUGAUAUGAACCGUUAUAACCGGCGAUACCCGAAUGGGGAAACCCAGUGUGACUCGUCACACUAUCAUUAACUGAAUCCAUAGGUUAAUGAGGCGAACCGGGGGAACUGAAACAUCUAAGUACCCCGAGGAAAAGAAAUCAACCGAGAUUCCCCCAGUAGCGGCGAGCGAACGGGGAGGAGCCCAGAGCCUGAAUCAGCAUGUGUGUUAGUGGAAGCGUCUGGAAAGUCGCGCGAUACAGGGUGACAGCCCCGUACACAAAAGCGCAUGUGCUGUGAGCUCGAUGAGUAGGGCGGGACACGUGGUAUCCUGUCUGAAUAUGGGGGGACCAUCCUCCAAGGCUAAAUACUCCUGACUGACCGAUAGUGAACCAGUACCGUGAGGGAAAGGCGAAAAGAACCCCGGCGAGGGGAGUGAAACAGAACCUGAAACCGUGUACGUACAAGCAGUGGGAGCACAGGUUUACCUGUGUGACUGCGUACCUUUUGUAUAAUGGGUCAGCGACUUAUAUUCUGUAGCAAGGUUAACCGAAUAGGGGAGCCGGAGGGAAACCGAGUCUUAAUUGGGCGUUAAGUUGCAGGGUAUAGACCCGAAACCCGGUGAUCUAGCCAUGGGCAGGUUGAAGGUUGGGUAACACUAACUGGAGGACCGAACCGACUAAUGUUGAAAAAUUAGCGGAUGACCUGUGGCUGGGGGUGAAAGGCCAAUCAAACCGGGAGAUAGCUGGUUCUCCCCGAAAGCUAUUUAGGUAGCGCCUCGUGAAUUCAUCUCCGGGGGUAGAGCACUGUUUCGGCUAGGGGGCCAUCCCGGCUUACCAACCCGAUGCAAACUGCGAAUACCGGAGAAUGUUAUCACGGGAGACACACGGCGGGUGCUAACGUCCGUCGUGAAGAGGGAAACAACCCAGACCGCCAGCUAAGGUCCCAAAGUCAUGGUUAAGUGGGAAACGAUGUGGGAAGGCCCAGACAGCCAGGAUGUUGGCUUAGAAGCAGCCAUCAUUUAAAGAAAGCGUAAUAGCUCACUGGUCGAGUCGGCCUGCGCGGAAGAUGUAACGGGGCUAAACCAUGCACCGAAGCUGCGGCAGCGACGUUUAUGCGUUGUUGGGUAGGGGAGCGUUCUGUAAGCCUGCGAAGGUGGCCUGUGAGGGUUGCUGGAGGUAUCAGAAGUGCGAAUGCUGACAUAAGUAACGAUAAAGCGGGUGAAAAGCCCGCUCGCCGGAAGACCAAGGGUUCCUGUCCAACGUUAAUCGGGGCAGGGUGAGUCGACCCCUAAGGCGAGGCCGAAAGGCGUAGUCGAUGGGAAACGGGUUAAUAUUCCCGUACUUGGUGUUACUGCGAAGGGGGGACGGAGAAGGCUAUGUUGGCCGGGCGACGGUUGUCCCGGUUUAAGCGUGUAGGUGUGUGUUCCAGGUAAAUCCGGUUCACUUUAACACUGAGGCGUGAUGACGAGGCACUACGGUGCUGAAGCAACAAAUGCCCUGCUUCCAGGAAAAGCCUCUAAGCAUCAGGUAACAUCAAAUCGUACCCCAAACCGACACAGGUGGUCAGGUAGAGAAUACCAAGGCGCUUGAGAGAACUCGGGUGAAGGAACUAGGCAAAAUGGUGCCGUAACUUCGGGAGAAGGCACGCUGACACGUAGGUGAAGUGAUUUACUCAUGGAGCUGAAGUCAGUCGAAGAUACCAGCUGGCUGCAACUGUUUAUUAAAAACACAGCACUGUGCAAACACGAAAGUGGACGUAUACGGUGUGACGCCUGCCCGGUGCCGGAAGGUUAAUUGAUGGGGUCAGCGCAAGCGAAGCUCCUGAUCGAAGCCCCGGUAAACGGCGGCCGUAACUAUAACGGUCCUAAGGUAGCGAAAUUCCUUGUCGGGUAAGUUCCGACCUGCACGAAUGGCGUAAUGAUGGCCAGGCUGUCUCCACCCGAGACUCAGUGAAAUUGAACUCGCUGUGAAGAUGCAGUGUACCCGCGGCAAGACGGAAAGACCCCGUGAACCUUUACUAUAGCUUGACACUGAACAUUGAGCCUUGAUGUGUAGGAUAGGUGGGAGGCUUUGAAGCGUGGACGCCAGUCUGCAUGGAGCCGACCUUGAAAUACCACCCUUUAAUGUUUGAUGUUCUAACGUGGACCCGUAAUCCGGGUUGCGGACAGUGUCUGGUGGGUAGUUUGACUGGGGCGGUCUCCUCCUAAAGAGUAACGGAGGAGCACGAAGGUUGGCUAAUCCUGGUCGGACAUCAGGAGGUUAGUGCAAUGGCAUAAGCCAGCUUGACUGCGAGCGUGACGGCGCGAGCAGGUGCGAAAGCAGGUCAUAGUGAUCCGGUGGUUCUGAAUGGAAGGGCCAUCGCUCAACGGAUAAAAGGUACUCCGGGGAUAACAGGCUGAUACCGCCCAAGAGUUCAUAUCGACGGCGGUGUUUGGCACCUCGAUGUCGGCUCAUCACAUCCUGGGGCUGAAGUAGGUCCCAAGGGUAUGGCUGUUCGCCAUUUAAAGUGGUACGCGAGCUGGGUUUAGAACGUCGUGAGACAGUUCGGUCCCUAUCUGCCGUGGGCGCUGGAGAACUGAGGGGGGCUGCUCCUAGUACGAGAGGACCGGAGUGGACGCAUCACUGGUGUUCGGGUUGUCAUGCCAAUGGCACUGCCCGGUAGCUAAAUGCGGAAGAGAUAAGUGCUGAAAGCAUCUAAGCACGAAACUUGCCCCGAGAUGAGUUCUCCCUGAGACUUUAAGUCUCCUGAAGGAACGUUGAAGACGACGACGUUGAUAGGCCGGGUGUGUAAGCGCAGCGAUGCGUUGAGCUAACCGGUACUAAUGAACCGUGAGGCUUAACCUUACAACGCCGAAG